rnacentral:rRNA from 1 species
UACGUAGGUGUCAAGCGUUGUCCGGAUUUAUUGGGCGUAAAGCGCCCGCAGGCGGCUUGCCAAGUCUGACGUGAAAUCUCCCGGCUCAACUGGGAGGGUGCAUCGGAAACUGGCAGGCUUGAGGCAGGGAGAGGGAUGUGGAAUUCCAGGUGUAGUGGUGAAAUGCGUAGAUAUCCGGAGGAACACCAGUGGCGAAGGCGACUUUCUGGCCUGUUCUUGACGCUGAGGCGCGAAAGCUAGGGGAGCAAACGGG